AAAGUCGUAACAAGGUUUCCGUAGGUGAACCUGCGGAAGGAUCAUUAACACGAAUUUAUUAUCCAAUAUCAAAACCAAACGUGAACUUUUCCCCUCCCUAUAUUAUGAUAUUUUUUAUCAUAGUGUAGGCUAAACCAUAUUUUAAUUUUAAACCCCUUUAACUUAACUUGUUUCAACACUGUUUGAAACAGCUAACACUAAAGAAAUUGAGUUAUUCGAAAGAGUAUACUUUACAAUUUUUUUCGAUUUACGAAAUAAAUAUAAAAGAACAACUCUUAACAAUGGAUAUCUUGGUUCUC
rnacentral:misc_RNA from 1 species